UACGUAGGGACCGAGCGUUGUCCGGAAUCAUUGGGCGUAAAGAGCGUGUAGGCGGCCUUUUAAGUCCUGCGUGAAAUCCUGCGGCUCAACCGCAGACGGUCGUGGGAAACUGGAAGGCUAGAGUGCGGGGAGAGGAGAGUGGAAUUCCCGGGUGUAGCGGUGAAAUGCGCAGAUAUCGGGAAGAACACCCGUGGCGAAGGCGGCUCUCUGGAACGCAACUGACGCUGAGACGCGAAAGCGUGGGGAGCAAACAGG
rnacentral:rRNA from 1 species